UUGGUCAAUGGGCGGGAGCCUGAACCAGCCAAGUCGCGUGAGGGAAGACGGUCCUAUGGAUUGUAAACCUCUUUUUGUCGGGGAGCAAAGAGGCCACGUGUGGUCAAAAGCGAGAGUACCCGAAGAAAAAGCAUCGGCUAACUCCGUGCC
rnacentral:rRNA from 1 species